GACAGAGGGUGCGAGCGUUGUCCGGAAUCACUGGGCGUAAAGGGCGCGUAGGCGGCCCGGUUCGUAGGGGGUGAAAUCUCGCGGCUUAACCGCGAGGCUGCCUCCUAAACUGCCGGGCUCGAGCACAGUAGAGGCAGGUGGAAUUCCCGGUGUAGCGGUGGAAUGCGUAGAGAUCGGGAAGAACAUCGGUGGCGAAGGCGGCCUGCUGGGCUGUUGCUGACGCUGAUGCGCGACAGCGUGGGGAGCAAACAGG
rnacentral:rRNA from 1 species